UUUUUUUUUUUUUUUUUUGUAUUAAUAGACUGACUCAUUGUUUACAUGUGAAAAAAAAAUCUGACUUGAAUGAACUUAAGUGGAAAGAAAAGAUGCUCUCGUGUGACCAGUCCUGGGAUGGAGAUUGGUGCCUGGCCUUAGAAGAAAUAUUUAGGGACCCAAAUCAAUAAGCUUUCUGUCUCCAUCUCUCAUUCUUGAUUUGUUCUGAAGCCUCCAUGAGGUGACUCAAGGCCUCAGGAAGCACCUCGACUUACAUUUUAGGUUUGCUGUCAAGGAGGUACCACCUCUUUAGUUUUAGUUUGGCUCAGUUUUUACCCAGUCUUGGUGGCAAAGGUUAGGGGCAGGGCAAGUUUCACUGGAAGAACAUUUAUCAAGAAUUUGUUAGUUCAUGUUUACUUAUUUAUUUAUUUAUUUAUUGCUAUUUCUUGGGCCGCUCCCUCGGCAUAUGGAGUGGCCCUAGAAAAGGCAAAAAGACAAAAAAAGGGGGGGGGGCUGAUUUGGGGGUGCUGUGAGCCAGGAAGCCACCCUGUCAGCAUCUAUUAGGGUUACAAAUAUCCUUAGGAUUUGGAUCCCAGUCCUAAACUUCUCAAGGGCACUCCAGGGGAUAUUGACAAAUAGGAAGUAUUAUUUGCUUUUACUGGAAGAGAAUCCAAGACAUAAAAGGAUGAGUGAUAUAUUCAGAGUGUCAUGGGGAGUCCACAGAAAGGACAAGCUAGAUCCACGGUUCUGUUGUUUGCUCAACCAAGUGGACGCAGAAAUCUUAUUGGUAUUAAAACUGCUUUGCUCAUGUCAUUAAAAAAAAAAACCCUACGUAAUCCUAGUUAAUAAGAUGUUCUCCUAAAAGCUAUGUUCACUGCUACCUAUACAGUAUUAUAAUGGCUUGUUUGAUCAUUUGCUCUGGUACCCUUAUAAUUCCAGCAGUCUCUAAUUUCCUGUGAUAGGGACAGCAUUUCCCUUCUUUCAUCUUCAAAGGCUUUUUGUGUGUCCUUUAUAAUUUCUCAGAAAGCUUGCAUAGUGGCUCUGUAGUGACAGCAGCACAGAAAUUUGUGAUCCUUCAAAAAGAUGCAGUGCAAGAAAAAAUUCUUACUCUGUGUUAACAGAGUAAUAUAUGACACCUAAUUUAUUUUACUCAGACCUUCAUGUCCAUCACUCUAGCUUUUCCAGAAUUAUGUUUAUGAAAGUAUAUUUUUAAAACGUGCAAUAGGCAUUGGUCAAACUGAAAGGAAAGGUUUUCAUGCUUUAAAAAAAGUGGCGUUAUGGCCACGGGCAUUUUGGGAGCAUUAGCUGCUACUCAUUGAGGAUACUGGCAGCCCCAAGCUGAGAAUUCUAUAAUCAUUUCUGGAUCUCUGUCAAGGUCCUGGUUUCUUAGUAAACAGAUUUCUUAUUAAAUAGAUAAAACUCAAGACAAGAUCCCUCAUUCACUCACUCGGUCUAAAUCAUUAAGAUGACCUUUUUACCCUUGCUGACAACCUCAUUAGAGCUCUACAAUGAAGAGUACUGCUUUAAGGAAUUCCCGCUGUGGCAAAGUGGGUUCAGAACCUGACUACAGCAGUUUGGGUUAUUUCAGAGGUGCAGGUUCAAUUCCUGGCCCAGUGCAGGGAUGCAAUGUUGCCAUAGGUUCAGUGUAGGUCACACCUACAGCUCGGAUUCAGUCCCUGGCCUGGAAACCUCCUAUGGUUAAAAAAAAAAAGAAUACUGCUUUAAAUCUGUGAGUGUGUUGUUUCAGAACAGAUUCCUUAAUUCAGGAUGUAGGUAACUGCCUCUUGUAGAAAAAGGUUCCUGUAGAGGAAAAAUAUGUAUAAGUUAGAAACUCAGUUAGUUGUCAGAAAGGAACUUUGCUGGAAGUAACUCUUGUCAUAAGUUAGUAUCUGGUUGUUAUCACCAUAGAGAAAUCUCUGGUUGCUGCUUCAAAAGUCUGAGCACGUUUUUUUUUUUUUUAUUUUAAAUUAUAGUUGAUUUACAGUGUUCUAUUUCUGCUGUACAGCAAACUGACCCAGUCACACAUAUAUAUGCAUUUUUUCCUCAUAUUAUCUUCCAUCAUGUUCUAACCCAAGAGACUGGACACAGUUCCCUCUGCUACACAGCAGGACCUUAUUGCUUAUCCAUUAUAAAUGUAAUAGUUUGCAUCUACCAACCCCAAACUCCCAGUCCAUUCCUGAGCACAGUUUUUAAUUCUCUUCUGAUGUUUAUUCCUAUUACCUGGCUCUCUAUUGAAAAGGUUUCCUAUAUUUUAAUAUUUUCUAGAAGUUACUGGAUUUAAUUCUUCCCUUGGUGACCAAAAACCCUCUACAUCUGUUGCUCUCCCCAACCCCCAACAAAAUGUCUUCUAGUUUUCUAAGAAUGAAUUUGAGCUGCUUCAUAAAAUUAUCAUUCAACACUACCAGGAACUGAGAAAUUGAGAGUAUUGAGCAUGAACUUUUCUACCAAAGAAAGGGCCAAAUACACUUAAAGGACAUCUAUGAACAGAGGGAGAGUUCUGUGUGCAUCCCUCAGUGUUCUGCUGCUCAUGGUCUACCCUCCUUCCAGGAGUCUAGCUUUUCUCUUGAAGGUCUUGCUUGUUCCAGCCUGACAGUGGACUGUAGGGCUGGUCUGUCCAUCAAUCUGCUAGUUCUCUUCACAGAAGACUUUUUCACAAUGGAGGAGUUCCCACUGUGGCUCAGCAGGUUAAGAACCUGACAUAGUGUCUGAGAGGAU
rnacentral:lncRNA from 1 species